GCAUGGAAUAAUAAAAUAGGACGUGUGGUUCUAUUUUGUUGGUUUCUAGGACCGCCGUAAUAAUUAAUAGGGACAGUCGGGGGCACCAGUAUUCAAUUGUCAGAGGUGAAAUUCUUGGAUUUAUUGAAGACUAACUACUGCGAAAGCAUUUGCCAAGGAUGUUUUCAUUAAUCAGGAACGAAAGUUAGGGGAUCGAAGACGAUCAGAUACCGUCGUAGUCUUAACCAUAAACUAUGCCGACUAGGGAUCGGACGAUGUUAUUUUUUGACGCGUUCGGCACCUUACGAGAAAUCAAAGUGCUUGGGCUCCAGGGGGAGUAUGGUCGCAAGGCUGAAACUUAAAGAAAUUGACGGAAGGGCACCACCAGGGGUGGAGCCUGCGGCUUAAUUUGACUCAACACGGGGAAACUCACCAGGUCCAGACACAAUGAGGAUUGACAGAUUGAGAGCUCUUUCUUGAUUUUGUGGGUGGUGGUGCAUGGCCGUUCUUAGUUGGUGGAGUGAUUUGUCUGCUUAAUUGCGAUAACGAACGAGACCUUAACCUGCUAAAUAGCCCGUAUUGCUUUGGCAGUACGCUGGCUUCUUAGAGGGACUAUCGGCUCAAGCCGAUGGAAGUUUGAGGCAAUAACAGGUCUGUGAUGCCCUUAGAUGUUCUGGGCCGC
rnacentral:rRNA from 1 species